rnacentral:rRNA from 1 species
CCUACGGGUGGCAGCAGUGGGGAAUAUUGCACAAUGGGGGAAACCCUGAUGCAGCGACGCCGCGUGAAGGAAGAAGUAUUUCGGUAUGUAAACUUCUAUCAGCAGGGAAGAAAAUGACGGUACCUGACUAAGAAGCCACGGCUAACUACGUGCCAGCAGCCGCGGGAAUACGUAGGGGGCAAGCGUUAUCCGGAUUUACUGGGUGUAAAGGGAGCGUAGGCGGCGAUGCAAGUCAGAAGUGAAAGCCCGGGGCUCAACUCCGUCGAGCCGUUGAAACUGGCAGACUUGAGUUGGCGAGAAGUACGCGGAAUGCGCGGUGUAGCGGUGAAAUGCAUAGAUAUCGCGCAGAACUCCGAUUGCGAAGGCAGCGUACCGGCGCCAGACUGACGCUGAGGCACGAAAGCGUGGGGAUCGAACAGGAUUAGAUACCCUAGUAGUC